UUCCUGGUGGCUCAGAUGGUAAAGCGUCUGCCUACAAUGCAGGAGACCCAGGUUCUAUUCCUGGGCUGGGAA
rnacentral:tRNA from 1 species